rnacentral:rRNA from 1 species
UACGUAGGUGACCAGCGUUGUCCGGAUUUACUGGGCGUAAAGAGCGCGCAGGCGGUCGUUCAAGUCGAGUGUGAAAGCCCCCGGCUCAACUGGGGAGGGUCACUCGAUACUGAUCGACUGGAAGGCAGGAGAGGGUAGUGGAAUUCCCGGUGUAGUGGUGAAAUGCGUAGAUAUCGGGAGGAACACCAGUGGCGAAGGCGACUACCUGGCCUGUUUCUUGACGCUGAGGCGCGAAAGCUAGGGGAGCAAACGGG